rnacentral:misc_RNA from 1 species
UUUCCGUAGGUGAACCUGCGGAAGGAUCAUUACAGAGUUCAGGCCCGAAAGGGUAGACCUCCCACCAUUGUGUAUUGUUACUUUGUUGCUUUUGCUAGCGAACGCUCCCCAGAUAAUACCAAAGCUGUUAUUAUUAAUGUCGUCUGAGUACUAUAUGAUAGUUAAAACUUUCAACAACGGAUCUCUUAGUUCUG